rnacentral:rRNA from 1 species
UCCCGCCGGCGACCGGCGCACGGGUGAGUAACACGUAUGAAACCUGCCCGUAGCAGGGGGAUAAGCGGAAGAAAUUCCGUCUAAUACCGCGUAACAACCCGAGGAGGCAUCUCCUCGGGUUUAAAGGAAGCGAUUCCGGCUACGGAUGGUCAUGCGUCGCAUUAGCUAGUUGGCGGGGUAACGGCCCACCAAGGCGACGAUGCGUAGGGGUUCUGAGAGGAAGGUCCCCCACACUGGUACUGAGACACGGACCAGACUCCUACGGAAGGCAGCAG